rnacentral:ncRNA from 1 species
CGCAGAGUAGGUUAUGAAGCGUAGUGAAGCGGCCAUCCGCUUCCGCAGUGCCCCGUGUACAGGGAGUUGACAUAGGGACGAAAGGCAUUUGCCUGCGAUUUCAUCACCGCAUCCCGCUGCU